CCGGGUUCUCGGAGCCUAGCUGUAAAUUGGACGAUUCCGGUUGAACACUAUUUGAGUGAACUGACCCAAAAUCCGCGAGUUGUUGCUGAAGGAAAAGAAAUCUACUUUUAAUCUCAUCAGAAUAUGCCCCAUUCACAUCAGCCAGAGAGGUCGGAAAUGCGACCGGACCGGCGUCACUGCAGUCAAAGAGGACCGGCCAAUCUACUGCCAAAGGUUACUGGUCAGAGAACCCACCGACGAGGCCACGGCUAGUCGAGCCAAAAAGUCGCCGCAACUUCGAACCCUAGGGCUGUCGAUCGAUCUAGUGAGCUCUCGUCUGGUUUGCGCGUAGGCUGCUGGGAGAUCGACCGACCUGUUGUGCGCAAAAGUUGCUGGGAGAUCGACCAAUCUGGUUGCCAUCGACUGUUCUGGAUUCGCGGAAGGUUGGGCUGCGACUGGAUCUGUUCGCCGAACAUCAUCUACACCUAGGAGAUCAACGGGUCUGCGGCUGAAGUGUGGCUGAGCAUCGCUCAGAUCUGAACGCCAAUUCUCCUUGGUUGGGUGUGAUCCGAUCUAUCCAUCGAUGGGUUGGGUUAUCGUUCCGGCGACAUUCAUUUGUUGAAAAAGGCGAGAGAUUAAAGUGAUAUGAUGUAUCUUACUGUGGGAUGUGUUCAUGAUUGAUGAUGGUUUGGCAAUUUGGAUCUCAUUCGCAGCAAAGGUAAUAUUUACAGAGGAGGAGUUUUGUAGGCUUAUGGACUACAAGCAUUACAUUUGUAAUAUGUUCGUUAUUGCUCAUGUUGCUCAUGAUGAGGAUUAAAGAUGGAAGCUCAAUUCCAUGACGCUAUUGUUAGAGUAUAUUAACGUUCAGCAGAGGAAAAAUAGAAUCAAUAAGUACUCUAAUUAUACUUAAUUUGAGUUUAAACAUGCUUCAAAGUAACAUUUACAAAAGAGGGUUUGCUAAAUACAAUAUCUUUAAAAUAUCAUCUUCAAGUCCAGUUGAGAUCCAUGUGAAAGAGCUUCAAUCUUCAAGUAGACAACCACCAAGAUCUUCGCUACUAUUCUCUUGUAAGGAUUGUGUGGUGGAAACCCUAAAUUGAGUUAGAAGUAUAUAAGAUAUGAGGAGGGUUUGAUUA